rnacentral:lncRNA from 10 species
CAGCCCCAAACCCACAUGAAGAACUUAUUUCCAGACAGCUCCUACUCUUAUGGUGGCUCCAGACCCUGCCCCAUGCAGAAGGCACUUCUCAAGUUCCAGGACCAGGGCUUCAGCCACAGCACUCGCAAAACCCCACAGAUACAGUGCCAAUGACAGAAAUUAAGAUUAACUGGGGGCGACACAGAUUUCUGUGAAUGCCAGUGCUGUCAGAUGCUUCCUGAUAGUACUUUCUAGAGUAAAAGAACUUCGGGAAAAGUAAAAGCAGCAAAUGGUAACACCCUCAUGGAGAUCUCAGGGCUGCAGAACAAGCACUUUGAGUGCUGAAGACUUCUCCCAUCUCCACGUCCCUAACUGUCCCCAUGCAGAUUCCAGGAUCCACACAUCAGAGGCAUCUGCCACUGAGCUGGGUGUGAAAUCUGAAGACCAGGGUGUAGAGGCAAGCACUGAAGGCCCAUGAUCAGCCGUGGGAGCCACGGGAAUCAAU